ACUCUCUUAGUAUCAACGAGUACAGUUGACUUCCAAUCAACUAGACCCAGACAAACACUGGGAGAGAGUA
rnacentral:tRNA from 1 species